rnacentral:rRNA from 1 species
UACAGAGGGUGCAAGCGUUGUUCGGAAUUAUUGGGCGUAAAGCGCGUGUAGGCGGCUUGGCAAGUCGGGUGUGAAAGCCCUCAGCUCAACUGAGGAAGUGCGCCCGAAACUGCUGAGCUCGAGUGCCGGAGAGGAUGGCGGAAUUCCCCAAGUAGAGGUGAAAUUCGUAGAUAUGGGGAGGAACACCGGUGGCGAAGGCGGCCAUCUGGACGGUGACUGACGCUGAGACGCGAAAGCGUGGGGAGCAAACAGG